rnacentral:rRNA from 1 species
GACGAACGCUGGCGGCGUGCUUAACACAUGCAAGUCGAACGAUGACGCCUAGCUUGCUAGGUGUAUUAGUGGCGAACGGGUGAGUAAUACGUGAGUACCCUACCUUUAACUCUUUGAUAGGCCUUGAAAACUGGGUCUAUUACCUGAUACCACCAAUCUCCUCCUGGGGAGUUGGUGGAAAGCUCUAUGUUGGGGUUAUAGAUUGGCCCACGGCCUAUCAGCUUGUUGGUGGGGUAACGGCUCACCAAGGCGACGACGGGUAGGCGGCAUGAGAGGGUGAACGGCCACAAUGGGACUGAGACACGGACCAGACUCCUACGGGAGGCAGCAGGGGGGAAUAUUGCACAAUGGGCGCAAGCCUGAUGAAGCGACGCCGCGGGAGGGAUGACGGCCUUCGGGUUGUAAACAGCUGUUAGCAGGGAAGAAGAGAAAUUGACGGUACCUGAAGAGAAAGCGCCGGCUAACUACGUG